rnacentral:rRNA from 1 species
AGCGAACGUUUGCGGCGGGCUUAACACAUGCAAGUCGAACGGGCUGUUCCUUCGGGGGCAGUCAGUGGCGCACGGGUGCGUAACACGUAGGUAAUCAACCCUCUGGUUGGGGAUAACACUUCGAAAGGAGUGCUAAUACCCGGUAUGGCGCAGCGGUCUUCGGAUCGCGGCGAGAAAGACCCGCAAGGGUUGCCAGAGGACGAGCCUGCGGCCCAUCAGCUAGUUGGCGAGGUAACGGCUCACCAAGGCGAAGACGGGUAGCUGGUCUGAGAGGAUGAUCAGCCACACUGGAACUGAGACACGGUCCAGACUCCUGCGGGAGGCAGCAGUGGGGGAAUAUUGCGCAAUGGGCGAAAGCCUGACGCAGCCACGCCGCGUGAGCGAUGAGGGCC